ensembl:snRNA U6 U6 spliceosomal RNA
GUGCUUGCUUCAGCAGCACAUAUAUGAAAAUUGGAAUGAUACAGAAUCAAUUUGCAUGGCCCCGAUCAAGGAUGACACACAAAUUUGUAAAACAUUCCAUAUUUUU